GACGAACGCUGGCGGCGUGCUUAACACAUGCAAGUCGAACGGUGAAGCUCCAGCUUGCUGGAGUGGAUCAGUGGCGAACGGGUGAGUAACACGUGAGCAACCUGCCCCUGACUCUGGAAUAAGCGCUGGAAACGGCGUCUAAUACUGGAUACGAGAAGGGUCCGCAUGGGCACUUUCUGGAAAGUUUUUCGGUUGGGGAUGGGCUCGCGGCCUAUCAGCUUGUUGGUGAGGUAAUGGCUCACCAAGGCGACGACGGGUAGCCGGCCUGAGAGGGCGACCGGCCACACUGGGACUGAGACACGGCCCAGACUCCUACGGGAGGCAGCAGUGGGGAAUAUUGCACAAUGGGCGAAAGCCUGAGGCAGCGACGCCGCGUGAGGGAUGACGGCCUUCGAGUUGUAAACCUCUUUCAGCAGGGAAGAAGCGAAAGUGACGGUACCUGCAGAAGAAGCACCGGCUAACUACGUG
rnacentral:rRNA from 1 species